UCUAAAAUAAAACAGUUUUGUAAACUGGACUUUCCAAUCGAAGCCGGAGAUAAUAAUUAAAGGAAGACCAACGCCGGAGCUAAAAGGUUUGCUACAGACUUUGGGACAGAAGACCUGUACUUUUCAAACGGUGUGGUGCACACGAAAAGGCUGGCUGUGUGGAUGUCCAAAUUUGCAGAGAACCCUCAUCAAACAUGAGCGGUCGACCACUCACAUUCAAAGCCAGAUUGCGCUCAAAACGUAAGGGAUAUCCAGGAUAGACUUGGCUUUGGAUGAACAGCGAAGACUCAACAUAAGCACCCACAAUGCUAAGACUCCUGCCAGCGCCGCUCAUCCAUCUGUGCGCACCUCUGGACACGCCCACGGGCGCACACAUCCAGGAACGAGCCGCACGCGUCCCCGCCCUGCAGCAGCAGCAGCAGCAGCAGCAGCAGCAGCCGCCAGCUCCAAUCAAUCACCGGCAAUCAUCACACCUGACAGUUAUGACGGAACUGCCUUAAUAAGCUCGGACAACCUGCCAUCGCGCACCGGAUUAUGGCGUUCUGUACCUGACACUCCCCGUGUCUCCUUUGAUCCCCUGUGGUUCCCCUUGCCUUCCGGACUGACCUUUUGGAUUCUCGACCUCCCGCUUGGACACGUUCCUCUCGACGCCUCUCGUAUGCCCCGGACCUUCUGCCUGACCCAUGGACUUUCGCGUUCUCUCUUCACAACUUUUUGGUAACACACACCUCAGUUAAAUUCUACACAUAGUCCGUCACCCAUUCCCUUUUGAAUCUAGUUCACACUCUAUUUCGUUAGUAUGUUUUCUAUUGUUUGAUUAUUAUAUAUAUAUAUAUAU